AUAAUGGGGCCAUAUCCUGUGAAUCCACCGUCCCGGUGCAUCCGUGUAUCCAUCCAUCCCCUGCCUCUUCAUCUGAAUCCUGCGUCUGCAACACCUCGGUGGCAAUUUUCUGAAAAAACACCCGCCGCGUCCAAGUUAGGCUUCUCCAAAUUUUAAAAAAAAAACCCAGCAAAAGGCAUCUUUCCCAAUUCUCAGACCUCGUGAGUUCUGACUCCCCAAAUUCCCCAAAUCAUUCACUCGUCGAUUAGUCAAUCCCCAAUCCCUCCACCAUGACUGCUCCUCCCGCGAGCAUCCCCACGAUUGCGGCAACCCCGAAGAUCCCCACAUGUGACGACCAGCGUACCCAUGUUCGAGCGACGGAGAACCCUAGCGGCCACGGCAUCCCAGCAAUGGCAGCCUGCGGCGGAGACAAGUGUAGGCGGCCACCAGACGAAGAUGUGAUGGCAACCACUAGCCUGUGACUAAGGUCCGUGUUUGGUGGCCACCACAUCCCCGCGGCGAGGUGACCUCCCUCAUUCUGCUGUCAAGGAGGAGAAUGUACUGAACGUCAAGUUGUUUUGUGAAUGGAGAAAAAUAUCCGAAAGAAACAAUUGUUGGGCUUUCUUUGUGGUGAAUGCAAGAGGCAGAUGUGCUUGUGUUAUCUGAGAUCUGAGGUGUUCAGUUUAUCAUGCAGUUUGUUUGGUGUGCACUUUGUUACUUUGUGCAGAACUUCAGGUCUUCAUGCAUCGAUAGAUCUCUUGCAGGAUCAAUUAUCGAAGACACCAAGUCAACUUCAGCUAGCUUUGAUUGUAUUUCUGUUGUCUUGGUUAAUCAAUGUUUUAAUGAGCUAGAUCAGUUUGCUAGUGUGUUUUGCUGUAUGAAGCUCUAGAGUUAAUCUGAGCUCCUAAUGUAACAGAGAGGCCCAAUCAAUGAAAAGCUGCUGAUUUUUUUAGAAGUAA